rnacentral:rRNA from 1 species
UACGAAGGGGGCUAGCGUUGCUCGGAAUUACUGGGCGUAAAGCGUACGUAGGCGGCUCUUUAAGUCGGGGGUGAAAGCCUGUGGCUCAACCACAGAAUUGCCUUCGAUACUGGUUGGCUUGAGUCCGGGAGAGGUAAGUGGAACUGCGAGUGUAGAGGUGAAAUUCGUAGAUAUUCGCAAGAACACCAGUGGCGAAGGCGGCUCACUGGUCCGAUUCUGACGCUGAGGCGCGAAAGCGUGGGGAGCAAACAGG